rnacentral:rRNA from 1 species
AACGAACGCUGGCGGCAGGCCUAACACAUGCAAGUCGAGCGAGGACUUCGGUUCUAGCGGCGGACGGGUGAGUAACGCGUGGGAAUGUGCCCUUCUCUACGGCAUAGCCCUGGGAAACUGGGAGUAAUACCGUAUACGCCCUAUUGGGGAAAGAUUUAUCGGAGAAGGAUCAGCCCGCGUUGGAUUAGGUAGUUGGUGGGGUAAUGGCCUACCACGCCGACGAUCCAUAGCUGGUUUGAGAGGAUGAUCAGCCACACUGGGACUGAGACACGGCCCAGACUCCUACGGGAUGCAGCAGUGGGGAAUCUUAGACAAUGGGGGCAACCCUGAUCGAGCCAUGCCGCGUGAGUGAUGAAGGCCUUAGGGUUGUAAAGCUCUUUCAGCUGUGAAGAUAAUGACGGUACCAGCAGAAGAAGCCCCGGCUAACUCCGUG